AUACAGGGGGUGCGAGCGUUAAUCGGAAUUACUGGGCGUAAGGAGUACGUAGGCGGUUGCUUAAGUCAGAUGUGAAAGCCCCGGGCUCAACCUGGGAACUGCAUUUGAAACUGAGUGACUAGAGUUUAAGAGAGGGGAGUAGAAUUCCGGGUGUAGCGGUGAAAUGCGUAGAGAUCCGGAGGAAUACCAGUGGCGAAGGCGGCUCCCUGGCUUAAAACUGACGCUGAGGUACGAAAGCGUGGGUAGCAAACAGGAUUAGAUACCCCGGUAGUCC
rnacentral:rRNA from 1 species